rnacentral:rRNA from 1 species
UCAGUGGCGGACGGGUGAGUAUAAGCAAGGAACGUACCCUUUACUGUGACAUAGCUCGUCGAAAGACGGGGUAAUAUCGCAUGAUCCCUUACGGGCAAAGCGCUUAACCGCGCGGUAUUGGAGCGGCCUUGUGUCUAUCAGCUAGUUGGUGGGGUAAAGGCCUACCAAGGCGACGACGGAUAGGGGGCGUGAGAGCGCGACCCCCCACAAUGGCACUGAAACACGGUCCAGACGCCUACGGGUGGCAGCAGUUAGGAAUAUUGGACAAUGGGCGAAAGCCUGAUCCAGCAACACCGCGUGAAGGAUGAAGGCCUUCGGGUCGUAAACUUCUUUUAAGGGAGACGAGAAAGGACGGUAUCCCUGGAAUAAGUCACGGCUAACUACGUGCCAGCAGCCGCGGUAAAACGUAGGUGGCGAGCGUUAUCCGGAUUUACUGGGCGUAAAGAGCUUGUAGGUGGUUUUGUAAGUUGGAUGUGAAAUCUCCGGGCUUAACUUGGAGAGGCCAUUCAAUACUGCAAGACUAGAGGAUGUUUGAGGGAAGUGGAAUUUCUGGUGUAGUAGUGAAAUGCGUAGAUAUCAGAAGGAACACCCGUGGCGAAGGCGGCUUCCUAGGACAUACCUGACACUGAGAAGCGACAGCUAGGGGAGCAAACAGGAUUAGAAACCCUGGUAGUCCUAGCCGUAAACGAUGAAUACUAGGUGUUGGCGGACUUAACCCCGCCUGUGCCGAAGCUAACGCGUUAAGUAUUCCGCCUGGGAACUACGAUCGCAAGAUUAAAACUCAAAGGAAUUGACGGGGACCCGCACAAGCAGCGGAGCGUGUGGUUUAAUUCGAUGCUACACGAAGAACCUUACCCAGGUUUGACAUAUAGGUAGUAGUGAACCGAAAGGGGAACGACCCGCAAGGGAGCUUAUACAGGUGUUGCAUGGCUGUCGUCAGCUCGUGUCGUGAGAUGUUCGUUUAAGUACGCUAACGAGCGCAACCCCCGUCCUUAGUUGCUACCAUUUAGUUGAGCACUCUAGGGAGACUGCCGGUGAUAAGCCGCGAGGAAGGUGGGGAUGACGUCAAGUCCUCAUGGCCCUUACGGGCUGGGCUACACACGUGCUACAAUGGUGGUGACAGUGGGAUGCGAUGGGGCGACCCCGAGCAAAUCUCCAAAAGCCAUCUCAGUUCGGAUUGCACUCUGCAACUCGAGUGCAUGAAGGUGGAAUCGCUAGUAAUCGUAGAUCAGCACGCUACGGUGAAUACGUUCCCGGGCCUUGCACUCACCGCCCGUC